UAGACAGAACUGGGAAGGUGGGGAAUCUUACUAAGAUCAUCUACCCUUAUUUCUCCAUUUUAUGUAAUGAAACUGAAGUCCAGAAGUAAUGGGAUUGACUUGACCAAAGCCAAGGAUUUAGUGAAGGACAGAGUUAAGGGUCCAAUUCCCAGAGAUAUUCCCACGGGCCUUCAGCUUUCUGAGGUAGCCUUGGAACUACAGCAUCUUUAGAAAAAUCCUUUGGGCAGAAAAGAAAAGAGGAAGACCGAAUGAGCUGUACAAUGACCAGUAAUGAAGUCCCUUUGGCAGCCAUGUGACUACUGGGAUCUAGGGAGGCAGGCCUGCACAUCUUCUUUAUCUCAUUCCCAACACUACAGGGUUCACAAGUGUUCUCAAGCCACUCAAAGACUUCUCAAUGAAUGAGCAAAUCGGUAUCGGCAUGGUGAAUGAGAAAGUGAACGAGGAAACAGAAUCGGAACACAGUUCUGGUUCAAAUCCACAUGUGAUGAGAUGACUCCACCUCAGCCACUUCAGCUUCAUGUGCUAAUCUGGGUCAAGGAUGGUCAGCUGGAGGAGGAGGGCAAGGUCAUUUCACAGUACAGCACUGUAAACUAGCCACAGCUUUCAGGGUCACUGAGCUCAUGCGCUCUUAGAGAGUUCCGCUACGUAGGGUACAUCUACCGCUCAAUAGCUAUCUGCUCUUACGCACAAUCCUAGAACUCGUCUCUAAGACUAUCCAGUGCUGACACACUUGAACUCUUGAGGCACUAGAUCGAUUCCAUGUUGCUCUUCACCUUCCUUUUAGCUGCUAAAGCAAAAGAAAACAAAGAGAGCUGUGGAGACGGCUCAGGAGAUAAAGCACUCGCCUCACAAGCAAGAGAACCAGCGUGUGGAUCCCAGAACCAAAGUAAAUGCUGGGAGAAUGUAGCAGUCUGCCUGUAACUCCAGCCCCGGAAGGCCGAGACGGGGAUCCCCAGAGGCAGGUGGUCAGUGAGCUCUGGGACUGAGAGACUCUGACUCAAUGAACUAAGGUGGAAGGACAGUGGAGGAUGCUUCCCAACAGCAACCUCGAGCCAUAACAUGUACACACACCCCUUACCCCUCCAUACACGCACACACACGAGAGUGGAAAAAGCUUAUUUUAAAAAGGUUAUAAUGAUGACAGGUGUUCAUUUUCUAAACACCAGUAAGACUAACAAUACAGUAGACAUAUUUAACACCCCACACUCUUCAAGUCAUAGUCAUAGAACAUUUCUUGAGCUAGUAAGAUGGCUUAACAGGGGAAGGCACUUGCUGCCAAGUCCGAUGACUCCAACUAGAUAGGAGAGAAUAGACUCGUGAAAGUUCUUGUAUAUUAGAGGGACCAGUCUUAAUAUUACACAUCCCAGGGACUCAGGAGAGAGAACUACUAACGGCGAGGACUAUUUUCAGGAAAUAGAAUCUCAGCACACCGAGCUCUAUAGUCCACUUGCUUUAAUUCCUCUGGCCUAACAUCCACAUAUACACAGCUUCAGUUCUGUUCUCGUGCCUACCUCCUUUCUUGCCUGAUUUCUCUCUAUACUUAUCUAUUGAUCCCUCUUAAGUUCUAUCUUAAUUCUCUCAUCUUAAUUCUGCCUCAUCUAGGUCCUUUUCACCUUGUUUUUACCCUGCUAGGGCUUCCCCAUCUGGCUCUUCCUCAUCUUCCAUCUCAUUCCUCUAGUACUCUCUUCUAGCCCUUCAGUCUAGUUCUUCCCCAUCUCAGUUUGUUCCUCUCAAGUUCUUACCCAUCUAGUUCUUCCAUUCUCUUUUCUCUUCUCCUUCUCUUGUGCCCUGGAAGUCCUGGUAUAUAAAGCCAGGCUUCCAGGGUCAAACGGAGGGGUGAUAAGAAUCACAAUGAGAGGCAAUAACCAUUAAUUAUCAUUUGCAACCCCUAAGGGAAGUGACAAAUGGGGAAAUGAAUUACCUAAAGGCUAAAUUCCGGUAAUAUCUAAGAAGAGGGAUUUACCUCUUCUAUAGUGCUCAACUAUAGUCUUAAACGUGAUUAGUAGAAAUUGUUAAGAAACUAUAAGUUGCUAGGUCAAUGGGAGAAAAUAAAACUGUCUUCUUUUU